UAGUGAGUUUGAUCCUGGCUCAGGAUGAACGCUGGCGGUAUGCUUAACACAUGCAAGUCGAACGGGGUUCUUCGGAACCUAGUGGCGGACGGGUGAGUAACGCGUGAGAAACUGCCCCUUGGACCGGGACAACAGCUGGAAACGGCUGCUAACACCGGAUGUGCCGAAAGGUGAAAUAUUUAUAGCCAGGGGAUGUGCUCGCGUCCGAUUAGCUAGUUGGAGAGGUAAAGGCUCACCAAGGCAUCGAUCAGUAGCUGGUCUGAGAGGACGAUCAGCCACACUGGGACUGAGACACGGCCCAGACUCCUACGGGGAGGCAGCAGUGGGGAAUUUUCCGCAAUGGGGCAAAGCCUGACGGAGCAAGACCGCGUGAGGGAGAAGGCUCUUGGGGUUGUAAACCACUUUUGUCAGGAAAGAACACAAUGACGGUACCUGAGUAAUAGCAACCGGCUAACUCCGUGCCAGCAGCCGCGGUAAUCUGAUGGCGCGA
rnacentral:rRNA from 1 species